ensembl:lncRNA
CUGAUUUAAAGAAGUUAAAAAAAUAAACCACAUAUAGGGAGAAGACCUUUGCAACAUACAUGAGGAGUCAGCUCCUGGUUAAAACCCUAGGAGAGAUUUUUCAGGCCUGACACCUGCUUUACCUGACAGGCCUGGUGGAGAAAUGCCCUCCCCACACCAGAUUUGGCGCUCAGCCAGCGCGCUGCAGCCUGUGAAGAGAGCUGCCGGCUAGGACUCAGGCCCCCCCUGGCGCUGGUGCUUUUCCAUAUUUGCCUUCAUUCCUAGGUCUCUUCAUCUGAGGCGCUGGGCGGAGGUCUUCCUCAAGCACCUCUGGUGAGGCGUCCUUAUAGGGACAAGAGGGGAAACCUUGAAGACGCUUCUCUUCUCUCUCACUCGGUAGCCUGUACUUUUCCUCUCCCAGCCCUUCGCCCUGGCCUUCUCCCCACCCCAAGGUUCAUAAAACUGCCGGAGCCUUUUGCUCAGGGUUCUCUGCACAAUAGGACGAUGCCCACGUCUACGCCAAUAUACCCGACUCUCAACCGGUGCACCUCUCCACGGGAAAAAAUGGAAAGGAGGCAAUAUAGUCAUCAAUUCAAUUUGCUAACAAACCCAAUUUAACAUCAUCAUCCUCAAUUUGGUUUAAAUCUAAGGGGAGCAUGACUUGAUAGGCCAUGUGUAGGUCCAUGCCCAGGAUCCGAAUCUGCAAACGCUGGGUGCUGAAGUGGAUCACGCAAACUUAACCACUACGCCACCAGGCUUCCUCUUGUUGUAAUUUUAAAGUAAUCUAAAAUUAUCACGUGGAACUUCUUAUCUUUUAAUAAAGAUCCUCCUAUAAUUGUCUAAGUGUUUAGAGUCUCCCUUGGUUUACUUAAUUCAUCAUAAAGAGACACUUAGUUUGGAUUCCAAAUUUCUUCAAUAUGUCAUCAUCUUACUUGACAGUGUUCUAGUUUUCAAAGUGUAGGAAUGAGCAUUAUAAAUUGAAUAAAAGAUAUUUUAAUUCCUAUUGAAUCAAAGGAAGUUAGAGCUACAAAGGAUCCAUAUCAGAGCUUUUUCAAAAGGUCCUAGGUUCCUUGGUUGAGCUUCAAGGCCUGAGGGAGGGAGGAAGUGAAAUGAAGCUCUAUUUGGAUUAUAUGUGUAUAUUUACAUACCUACACACACACACACCCACACCCACACACACAAUUAAAUACAUAAGAACUAACUUGGAACAGAAAAUGAUUCAUUUUUAAAAGAAAAACUGAUAUAAGCCAUUCUUGGUAUUAUACAGAAGGAGAAACUGCUGCUUGGCUGCCACUUACCUAGAUUGAGACCACCUGUUUCCCUAACAAGGGAAUUCUUUCUACUAAACCAGGGACAACAUAAUAUAUUAUAAGAUUCUGUGUUGUAUUUCCUCUUAAGGGAGAAGUGAUUGUUUCAGAGACUACUGGGGAAAUAGAUCGGUGUUAAGGAUUCAAAAGGGAUAGUAAAAGUAGAAAGAAUUCUUUCCAUUAAAUCUUAAAAAUCUGAUUAUGAUAGAAAGAGCAGGAGAAAAUGUGUUAUACAUAGUUGGUGCAAAAUAUUUCUCUUCUGGAAUAUAAUAUCUGGUCUCCUAUAGUUAUUUCCAGGCUCACUGGAAUAUAACCAAAUAUAUUCUCAGAUAACAUUGCUUUAACAUCUUGGAAUAAAAGUUACCUAGAAGCAUAAGACAACCGGAUAUAAAGCAAAGUUGGAUUCUCCCACUGCUGUUUCAUAGCACCCCAAACCUUCAAUCACUUGUCUCUCCUAUAAUAUUUCAAAAUAAAUCCCAUAUGGAUAAUUUCAUAUAUAAAUAUUUCAG